rnacentral:tRNA from 1 species
UGGGGCGUCGGCAAAUGGCAAGCCUCUGGAUUUUGGAUCCAGCAUUUGGAGGUUCGAAUCCUCCCGCCCCAGCUA